AAGGCACCAAGCGUCAGGGAGACAAGGGACUUGUGUGCAGCCAGUACUGCCAACAAGAAGGCCCAAUCAAGAUCCUCCCACAACAAGAGCAGAUUGUGAGCGUGGCAAGCUCUAUGCUGAGCACUGGAAGGACAAAGAGAGAUUGGGCACAGACUUCUCACUGAUCCAGGUGAUGAAGAGCUCACAUCUGAGAGGAUGUGACCAUGGAUGACCCACCAGAAUGUCAUGGGAUCCAGCUACAGCCAAGGAAGCACAGAGCACCGUGGGAGCGAUUUAUUGUGCUUGGGGAUGGGGAAGGGGACAUGGGAGGAGCCAUAUUGAGAAAGUAGCAUGGGUACUUGGCUUCACAGAGUGUGGCAGCUUUCAUCAGGAAGUGAUGGUGGGGGAACAGCGUCUCUGGCGGAGGGAAGCAGCAGGUGCAGAGGUGCAGAGGUGUGAGGAGUCUGUCACAUUCUGGGAAGGGAGUAUGGUUGGGUGACAAUGCAAGACAGAGAAAGCAAGGAGGGAAGGAGGGGCCUAGCCUGAGGAAUAAAGAAUAAUAAAAGC
rnacentral:lncRNA from 1 species